UACAAGGGUUGCAUGGCAGGAAAUUGAGCACAGGAGCCUUAACAGUUGGAUGCUGAUUCCCUGCAGUUCCCAUCCUGCAGACAAGAUCACUUUCAAAAUGAGGCUAUAAAGACACAGGCCUUUCACUUCCACCAAUAUUGGACUUGUGAAUCUCUUCAUGGAUGUUCUCAGAGCUGCAGGCUGUGAUGGUCCAAACCCCAUGCUGUAACACAGCUGUCCAGAAUGGCUCAGGAGCAAUAGCAGCAGAACUCUGGAAUAUCCAGCACUUUUUAUGUAUUCCCUUCACCACCACAACCUUAUGCUGCAGGAAUGGAUGGCAGAAUGGAUGAGUGUUAUUUACUGAAGAUGGUCAGCUCUGCUUUCACUUCCACUGCUCAAAUAUUUCUGUAUUCUUGAAUGGAUGAUGUGUGCUGCUCUCUACAGUAAAGUGCCAUAGGAAGAAAAAAAAGUUUGGAAGACAACUUUUCAGAUCAGAUUAUCCUUCUAUAAAUACAGCAAAUUUCUGUGGGAGAAUCUAAAUAACUUGAUGGAAAUUUCUGAAAAGUUUAAGACAAUAAAUUUCAAUUUUUUGAUAUUUAUUGCCUUAAAAUUUAUUUAUUGCCUUUAUUUUAUUUAAAAAUAAAUUUAAAUAAAGUCAUCAAUUUCACUUCAAAGCUUUUCAAAAUCCUUCAAAUUGAACUUCCUCCUGACUUGGUAAAAUUACCUGAAGUGCUUAAUGUCAAGUUAUUUUAAUGUUAGUGUUAAUUUAAAUUUAGCAUUCAUCUGUAUCUUCCCAGGUGGAAUGUUACCCUUGAGAAGGAAAAGGAUUACUGGAUGAAAAUAGAGAUUUCCAAUGUCUCAGGUAUUGUGGCCAGGCAACUCAGUGGCCAGUGCUCACUAUGCACCAAGAAUCCCACCAGUCCUGUGAUGAUCUAAAAAUGUUGUAGCCUAACCCCAAGACCAGAAAGUAGAAGGCAAAAAAGAAACUAUUCUGGUUAGAAUCAAAUCAAGCUGAAAUGAAGUAUUUUGCUGUGAGCUUUCUGAUAGAAAAUCAGGACUUAAAAAGUUUACCAGAAUGAACCAUAUUGGGUACAAACAGCUUGUUGCAUUAGUAAAACAUUUCAUCAGAAAAUCUGAGCUGCCUCUGAUCACAUCUGCUACAUGUAUUUUCUUUGCUUUCCUCAAACACAAAUUAAACUCUUUAUAAGGAGAUGGACAGCUAAGUAUGCAUAGGAAUUUUGGAGGACAACUGGGAGACAUUUCUUCAGUAAUAAUGACUAAAAUUGUUCCAAAAAAUGAAGAUUAAACAUUGAGCCCUUUAGCCUAUGUUUAGGUUUUUGUUUGGUCUGUAUUUAGGCAUGUUAGUACAACCCAGUUUUCAGUAUAUGCUGGACAAACAUUAAUUUGCUUUUAUUAAGGCCCCAGGCAUGGAUUUCAUCAAGAUAUUGUUUAUAAAUUUUUUGGUUUUGGUAGGUCAGAAAGAAUCCCAGCUUAAAAAACACUGUAUUUCUCAUCAUUGUGAAAAACUGUUUAUUACAAUCCAUUCCCAAUGAAAUUACAUUUCCAUAAUUGAUAGAAUAAUUAGUCAUAACACAAUACAAAAUUUAUUAAAUACAAUAGGAGUGCUACUUUCUUCAUUGUCACAACUCCUUCUGAAAAUGGAAUAUAAAUUAAAUGCAUUUUUACUAAAUUGUUGGCUUCUAAAAUCUGUAUAAUUUUAAUGAAGAAAAUAGAUUUUUUUUAGAACAGUUAACAUUUGAUAAUGUUGGAGAUCUAACAUAGCUGCUUGAGAAUUACCUGUAUGUUAACAAGAGAUGUGCUAAAUAAUAGAAUUACUGUAAUUUCUGAAGCACAAAUAUUCAUAUCAUCCAGAAGGUCAAGUGUCACAGCAGGCUGUUUGUAUUCACAGCUAGCAGAACCAGAGCUAUUUGUAUGAAAACUAGAGACAAAGAAACAGUUUUUAAAUUUUCCACAUUUUGUAGGGUUUUUUAAGAGAAGUGUUCUCGAUAUAGCAAAAGAAGUUAUAUCCAAUUUACUUCAAUUUAAGUGGACUGAGAUAAAAUGGCUUCAGAAAUAAUAACUAAAUGUAUCAGAUGUAGGAUUUAAGACUCUCACAGGCCUUUCAUGUCUGAGUCUAUAUUUAUCAUGUCUGCACUUUUUCAAGCAAAAAAUUCAUCAGAUUUGAACUGUAUUUUUUUCUUAUUCAGCUCUAAGAGAAGCAAAGCACAGAUGUGGUUCUGUGCAGAGCCUCUCUCCAGGGCCAGGUCAUUAAUAUUCACAAGAAGAAAAUUAGUCAUUAGAAAGAGUUUGUUUCUUCUGACAAGGCAAGCUGAUAAGAAAUAUUCCAGCAAAGAAAAGACAAAAAUAAAUGAAGGAGAAAAGAUUAGAUGGUGACAUUUCAUCCUUGAAAGCAGCAUAUUUUUACAAGGUAGCUAUUAUCAUUAAGUUACACCCAAAUAGGAAUGGCUAUUAACAAAAGCACUGAAAGUUUAAUUAAAGGCUAUGGAGAGUUUAAUUUAGCAAAGGUAGUAUGAAAUUCUUCUCAAGCCAAAGGAGAAGUGAACUGGGAGGGAUAUGAUGGGAAAGAGGGGGGAAGAGCUGUGCAGAAGCACCUUUCAUCUCCUUCACUGUAAAAAUCAAAAUGCAUUAGCUUCUAAAAUGGCCUUGCUAUGAAAGAAAUAGGAAUAAAAAGCAGAAGAGAAUAAGCUGAGCUUUUACUGAGUAGGAAUGAGAGCUUCAGCUGCAGCUAACUUGAAUGUUAGAAUACUGGCUAGGAAAGAGGAGAUACUGGCAUUUCAGCAGACCAGCGAUUUCCAAGACAUGUCUGUUUACUACUUCACUUGUGCUGUCAGUAAAAUACCCAGAUGCUGACAGGAACUGAUGUUUCCUGAGCAAAUACACACUGUUGACACAGUGAAUACAUCAUAAACUGGUGAGACUGGUAAACACAAUGUCAGUUACAAGCUUCUUUAUUACAUCAUAUGUGUAUUUAUGCCUCCAAAAUAAAUACAUAUUAAUAUUUCA